rnacentral:rRNA from 1 species
GACGACGCUGGCGGCGUGCCUAAUACAUGCAAGUCGAACGAGUGGCGGACGGGUGCGUAAUGUCUGGGCAACUGCCUGAUGGAGGGGGAUAACUACUGGAAACGGUAGCUAAUACCGCAUACCAUCGGAUGUGCGCAGAUGGGAUUAGCUGGUAGGUGGGGUAAAGGCUCACCUGGGCGACGAUCCCUAGCUGGUCUGAGAGGAGGACCAGCCACACUGGAACUGAGACACGGUCCAGACUCCUACGGGAGGCAGCAGUGGGGAAUAUGGCACAAUGGGCGCAAGCCUGAUGCAGCCAUGCCGCGUGUAUGAAGAAGGCCUUCGGGUUGUAAAGUACUUUCAGCGGGGAGGCGUUACCCGCAGAAGAAGCACCGGCUAACUCCGUGCCAGCAGCCGCGGUAAUUC